ACCUGCCCUAUGAUUAAUAAUUAAAUGGCUGCGGUAUUUUGACCGUGCAAAGGUAGCAUAAUCAUUAGUUUUUUAAUUGGGAACUGGUAUGAAAGGUCGAACGAAAAAAAAACUGUCUCAAUUUAAUUUAAAUUAGAAUUUUAUCUUUAAGUAAAAAAGCUUAAAUGAUUUUAAAAGACGAGAAGACCCUAUAGAGUUUUAUAUUUAAAUAUUUAUAUGAAAAAUUAAAGAAUUGUUUUUUUUUUGUAAUUAUUUAAUUAUUUAGUUGGGGCGAUUAAAAAAUUUAAAUAACUUUUUUUAAAUAAUAACAUUGAUUUAUGAAUAAGUGAUCCAUAUUUAAUGAUUAUAAGAUUA
rnacentral:rRNA from 1 species